rnacentral:tRNA from 3 species
GUGGUCAUAGCUCAAUAGGUAGAGCACCAGGUUGUGAUCCUGGCGGUUGGGGGUUCAAGUCCCCUUGGCCACCCCA